rnacentral:lncRNA from 1 species
AGAAAUCGUGUCCGCUAAGUGGUGUCGUCUGCCUGCAAGACCUGCACAGCUCCCAGGCCUAUGGCUUUGGGCACCAGACGGUGCCGGCCGAAAGGGAAGUGUCAGCUGUUCUUCUGUCUUUAAAAGGCAGCAAAGAAAAAAGCGCAGGGUUGGGUUUCGUAACGUCAGAGGAAGCCAAGGACACAGCAUGGAUCUGACGGGAAACGCAUGUGGGCGAGGAGGUGAUGGGCUUCAAGGCGCGGCUCUCUGGUCGCAAGCCGCCUGUUCUCAGAAUACAGCUGGCUGUGUUGUAAUCGCACGCUGAUCUCACAAUAAAUAACGUGUGCAUGGAACGUGCCUUCAGAUGAGCGUGAAUUUUUACAGUGUGCACAAACAAAAUCCCCCAGCCUGGAGAGCUAAAAGCAGGAGGCGGCCCAGGGGGUGACA